GUCAUUGUACGCUCACCUGAGAAUUUCUUUUCUUGUAAAAUAGGUACAGUCCUGCAAACACGACAGGAAUGAGCUUGAUUUCAUGCGGAUGCAGCGUUUCUCAUACAGUGUGUUGUUUAAUCACCGGCCACGUAAUUAUUCCUCCCGUUGAUUCGGAUCUUCUGCCUUUGUUUGCUCUCUGCCUGGAGGAAAACGCCAGCUUUAAUUACUCAGCGAGGUGUGAAUUAAAACACGUCCUGGAAUGUCGCUGCGCUGCCAAAAAUAAACUCGAGCCAAAUUAAAACCACAGCGACGUUUCCAAUUCUGAUUAUUGGAAUCAAUGGAAGUAGAUGGAUGAUGACCCUAAACAGGCUGUGAAAGAAAACAUGGUUCAGAGCCUUCCUUCCUUUUCAGACUGAGCUGUCGUCACCCAGGUGCAGCUCAGCGCCCUCUAGUGGUGGAGAGGAGGCUGUGCAGACUGGCCUCCGAUCAGAUGUCUGUCAAAAAAAAGCCAAUCUACACAGUCGUCAUUCA